UCCUGGCCGCCUCCGACCGUCUCCAGCGCCGGCGAGAUGGGGCUUUCGUCCGCCUCGAUGAGCUUUGUAUCCUUCCCCAACUCGAUUUGGUUUUCCAGCUCUACCUCGUCCGCCCCCAAACCUAGAAACCCUAGCGGCCGCACCGUCAUCCUCUCUCGAGUUCCCGAUGUGCUAGGGUUUCUGGCAUGCGGCCGCCAUCGAGCUCCGGCGAUGGCUUUCAUCCGUCGGACCUCCGCCUGAAAAGCGAAGGUGAGCUCAUUCCACUCACUCCACCGUCGCGAAGGUGAGCGAGGUACGUGGAUCCAGCUCGACUCGGUCCCCACGGCUUCUCGUGCAUGCCGCCGACCCCGGAACCCUAAAUGUCGCCGGCUGAUUUCGUCGCCGCCGGUGUAUUCCGGCCGACCUAGGUGCUGGUUCCGCUCCGCGCUACCACAUAGUCGUUCUCCCCCGCGUGCUCCGCCUCGUACACCACCAAUCGCGGCUCCAAGUCGCUUCCCACGCGGAACCCUAACCCCGUCGCUCGGCAUGGGCACCGAGGACAACGCGACCAUUCCCGCGCGACCUCCUAGAGGCCUACCUGGUCCUCCACAGCUCGACUCCCGACUACCUGGACAACCCCGGCGUCCUCUGAUCCGCCGCCUCGCGGUGAUGCUUGUCUGCUGCUCAGGUGGCGAUGACUGCUGUGGCUAUGAGGACUACCUCCGGCUCCGGUGCUCCCAUCGUGGCAUCCUUGAAGCAAUAUAGGAGGACGAGGGAGCUCAACCUGGAGGUCAGCCUGAGGGACAUUCAUAAAAGAGACAAAUCUGAAGUGAUACUGGAUUUAGCUCUAACUGAAUUUAUUCAGUGUUGAGCCGGGGAACUAAACUUAACUAUUCCUCAACGCAUUCAUGACAUCGAUCUUCACUUCAGGAGCCCAGCAGCCCAGGAGACUAUGGGUUCACUGGUGGUCUUUCCUCUAGGCUGCACACAUGUUGAUCCAUCUAGGUUAAGUAUUCAUUCUUCUUUUCUCAUUGCCUUCAUUGGUUCAUUCUGUUUCAAACUGUUGUGGCAACAAGUACGAAACCGAGGCUUACAUUUCAGGACUACAUUAUCUACAAAGUUUCCUCUCAUCACCAUGCACAGGUAUGCAGACUGUUAUCUUCUUCUCAUACAUACAUGCUAAUGCAUGUAAUUAAUUUGUGAAAUAUCAAUAGUGGAGAGUGAGAGUGAGGGGUCAAGAGCAUUCAAGUGAUCCGUUGUUGAUUUAGAGAGUCAUGGAAUUCACCUUUGGUACUGUAUGCAUGAAUUGAAAUACACUUCGAUUGCUGUUAAGCAUGUUUAUCUGUAAACAUACAUCAGGUAUAAGUUUGAUGCAAUAGGGAAGCGAUCGGCUCAAUUAUAUAGUCAAGGUUACAUACAUAUAGUUUGGCUGCACUAUAUUGAUCAUUCUGUUUUUAGCCUUUCAUGUUUUUGAAGUUUUGGAUAUAAAACAAUCUAACACUGACCGAUUAUAUUCCCCUGGUAUGAUGAGAUUCUUACAUUCAUCGAUAGGUUGAUGACGUAUUCCUCUCCUCUUCCUCAUGUUGAGAUUUGAUAUGUUUCUCUUCCUUUCGGAUUGCUAGGGCCCCUUUUUUCUUGCUGUGGUUGUAGUCCAAAUUUUAAUAGUUACAGUAUAUAUGUAUAAAUAGGGAUUUCGCGCCAUGGAUACUUAUGCCCCUGAUAAGCACAUCUCUCGGUAGCUCUUGAUGUUUUAGUUUAGUUGUACAUUAAAAAGGGUGCUCAUAUGGCCUUCCAACAAAUAUUGUUAGUUAGUGGUGGCCCUUUUUUGAAUAAUUUAGAAACUAUUGUCUUGCUGCUGUACUACUAAACUCUGGGUGCUUCUUCAUAACGGAGCAAUGCUUCUUAUGGCAAUAAAAGACGAUAUUAAGGUGGAAGCCAUGCUAAAAAAGAUUGUGCAACAGAUAGGUCCUAAGUUUAUGUUUUAUCAUGUGUAUUCUUUAGUGAAUGUUAUUAUUCAUUAGUUAACACCUCCAAUUCGAAUGCUACUUCCUUUAUUGCAUUCAACCCACAAAUUUUCGAUGAAGAUAUUGAUCCCACCAAUCAGCUAAAGUAGUGCAGAUAUGGGAAAUAGCUACUGUUACAUUACCUUAGUCAAGAGUUCAGCUUCUUUAAAGCUAAAACCCCUGCAAGGGUCAGAAUUUUCAUUGAAUACUCUCACAGGAAACAUUACAGAUGUUGAUUCCAGAAGGUAUAGCAAAUAACUAAAUAUGAUUGUAGGCACAGGGAAGAAGUGGUUUUUAGAUUUGUACAUUGAAAUGUUACAACUAGGUAAUCUAUUCGAUUUUCCACUUGUUUUUAAAACAUCAUUGUCAUAGUUUAUCUUUCAUUGCACAUGUUUGGACAUCAAGUUUGCCCCUCUUAAUUUUUCAUGCCCACUAUGCAAUUCUGGUGAAGACGAAACAUUGGAACACGCAUUCUUCAUUGCUCCUUUGCUACUUGGUGUUCAAACAUAUUGCACACAUAAACUGGAAUCUUCGUCUCAACUGAUUUGAGACUAUUACUGAAGGAAAGAAUUAUUUUCAAGGAUAGAUUUUGUUCAAUUUUUUUAUAAUUUCAGCCUGUGGUAUCUGGAAAGAAAGGAAUUUGUAUCUCAGGGGUGUAAGGCCUAUCGGGAGUGUUUGGAGAGCUAGAGUGGCAGCUGAUCUGCACCUUCUUAGAUACAAGGUCUCUCAAGACUUCACUUUUUUACACUUUCCGUUGUAGAUAGAAACUGAGCUUUGUAAUCCUAGGAUGAUUCCAGAGGGUUUUACAUCCAACGAUAUAAUUAUCUUUCUGUAUUAGUAUCUAUACCACAGUAGGAGACGGCUCCUACUGUUUCACUAUCAAAAAGAAAUCUAUUCUGCUUUUUAAACUACUUUUCUAUACCAUCAGUUUUAACCUUCUAUUUUAGGCUUCCUGGCCAUUUGGCACCAUGGAAGGAUGCGAGUUAACACAUCCUACCGUCUUAUUCUCUAUUCACACCGUUUUAUAUUUUCAUUGGAUGCAGGCUAUGAUGAUCUCAAAGUUGCAUGCUGGUCUAGCAAUACUGAAUAGCUGUGAAUAUUUAUUAUUAUAAGAGAUAUGGAGAUGUAGCUGCUAUGGUGAUAUAUUGUCUCAGUGAACAGUCCAGUACGUAUCUGAAGUUCCAACACUGAUCUGUUAUGCUGCGUUUUUCCAACACUGAUAUGUUAUGCUGCGUUUUGAGGGAAGUACAUGACGAUAAUGUCAACCAAAAUUGAUGUUCAUGUAUCCGUGGUUUGUUGAUCGUAUCGACGGAAGGUAGUGCAAUGCUGUUCACCAUGAAGUAAUAUCGUUUAAUAUAUAAUGGUGUGCUCUUCAAUUAAACUGAUGUAUGUAUUGCCUACAUUGAAUAUGCUCAUCUAUCUUCCCUUGGUUAUAACAAUUUGGUUUUCUGCUGCUCUUAGUAUCAGAGAAGUUCAUGACUCCAUGAUUGGUCUGAUGUUGGGAGCUCCGGUGACGAGCAAAGCGGGCCCUCGACUCGGGGAGGAGCUUACGCGCCAUUCAUCAAUUCUCUGGACAAAUACAUGACAACGUCAUUCUCGCUUCCAGCGACAACACACUAUAUUAUGUCUUUUGUGUCAUAGUUCCUGCACACAUGUCUUUCUUUGGUUUAAUAGAAUCGGAGGCUCGAUAUGUUCCGUUCUGGUCAUAAGAUCUCCUAACAGUCUCAAUAUCAUGGUCUUUCCAUGCUUGAGCAUACUUGCACGUAGCAUAUUCUCCGAUACCACCGCCGCUUCCCCUCAUUGGUACAGGAUAGCCUAGCCAUUUUAGUUGAUCUAGUUAUUGCUAUUUAUGCGAAAUACAUGGUACAAUCUAAGUGGUGUGUUCAUGUUAUUUCAACUACUUUCUCAUCACACGCCGCGCCAAUCAUUUGCUAGUUAUAUUUAGAUAAGGUUGGGUGUUGAUAAUUUGACCAUAUCCAGUAGGAUUUUAAAUAAACAGGUAUUUCUUGCCUGUCACCAUAAUAUUUUUAUUUUGAAUGUUUACUUCAAUGUUUCAGGUUGAGUUAAUUGUUAUCAUCACUGGUUAUUUCCAACUGUCUGCUUCCAAUGAACUCUGAAUUUAAUGCCGUGCAGAACUAUGAAACCUUGAUUCAGUUUCUUCAUUCAUAUCCUCUACUCUUUUCCCUUUUCUGUUUUCUGCAUAUAUAGCAUGGCUUAUUCUAUAUGGAUCACAUACCCGCCUUAUGCAUAUAUUUUUGAUGGCUUAAUCUAGGUAAGAUGAUUACAUCAUAGAGCAUGAAGUAUUUACAAUAUUAUGCUUUGUUAGAAUUAAAAUUAGUAAGAUGAAAAAUAUAGUACAACAGAGGAUUCCAAACCAAACUUACAUACAGCUUAGCACUGUCCUUUGACUCGGUUAUUAACAGAUCCAUGCGUACUAAUUUCUAGCUCAAUGUUACAUUGUUUCCAUGUGAGCUCAAACCGUUUGCAGUAUGUACACAAAAAGCCCCAAUGCUCAUCCUCAUUGCUCUGCACUCCACAAUUUUCGAUUUCCUUGAUGCUUUGUCUAUGGUAAGAUGCUUCCACUAUAUUACAUUUCAGCAAAAACACAGUGUAGUUGGAUAAUCAAACGGUAGUGUAAGAAAUAAGUUUAUCCAGUGUGUAGUGGCCAUUAUGUGGCUGCAGGGCACAAACAAGCAAUUCUUUUUAUUCUUAAAAUAAAGAUGUUUUCUUUUGUAGAAAAUUAUCAUUAUUGGUUACAACUUUUGCCUCAUGGUUCCCUGUAGAGAUCUACAACAAAGUAAAAUGAAAUGCUGAUGUAUGUUCAGUUCACAUCUUGAGAGAGCAACUAUUGUCUGUGUAUCAUAAUCCUACACCACCUUGAAUUUGGAAUGAUUGACAAGCAAUUUGUUAUCCUUAGUGAUUACUAAUAUAUUUUGACAAGAUUUUAGCCAUGAUGACUGAUAUUUUUGCAUAAUAAUAUUAAGAUUUACACUUGGAAUGCUAAUUCUAGGACAGGAUAAGCAACACGAUCAUGUUUUCCCAGAAUUGGUUCUAUUUUAUCCUUUCAUGGUUCAAAUGCCACUCUGAUCAUAUAUAUUGUAAAUAUUCAUCUUUCAUUAAGCUUUACAAUUUAGAAUUUUCAUUUGUUCUGAAUAGAACAAUGUUUGAUGCAAUUUACAUUGGUCACGUGAAAGUAUCGUUUGAUUAAGACUUGCAGUGUUACAUGACUCUGGUAAAUAUUUGUGUAUCUCAAGAUGAAUUUUGUUGUUGUUACUUAUUCUACAACUGUAGCUGCUAAUAUUUUUUCAUCCUGUUAUCUGUCAAUAAUUUAUGGUAUGUUCCAGACUGUUUAUUCUUUCUAGCAUAUCUUACCAUAUUUAUCAUGGUUUACUUGUGCUUCUAGGGCCUUGAGAUAUGUUACAACAAAGUUGUUUAAUCGGGUAUUUGCUUCGGUCCCGGAAGAUGUGAGAUGUCAUGAAGAACUAUUUGAGAAGAACUAUUUGAGAAGAUAUAUUUGCUACAGAAGUUUGUACGUCCUGAAAAAUUGGAUAUAAAACCAGAAUAUCAAAAUGAAUUACUACUGUGAUGUUACAUACUGUGAUGGUACUGGUAUUCCAGAUUAUUUACUGUGGUGGUUAUG